rnacentral:lncRNA from 1 species
UCCGCCCGGUCUCCCGGCAACGCUGCGGCCCCGCCCACGCCAUGGCGCCCUAGGAGAACGCGGGGACAGAACUCUUGCUGCAGAGUUUCGAGCGCCGCUUCCUGGCGGCGCGCUCACUGCGCUCCUUCCCCUGGCAGAGCUUAGAAGCAAAGUUAAGAGACUCAUCAGAUUCUGAGCUGCGGCGGGAUAUUUUGCAGAAGAGACUGUGAAGCAUCCUGUGUGUGUGAAGCACCCGCCGUCAGUCAAGUAUGCCCGGUGCUUUCUCUCAGAACUCAUGAAAAAGAGCCCUCGGGAGGCUCGGUCACACUCUCCAAGAGCACAGCCAUCAUCUCCCACGGCACCACAGGCCUGGUCACAUGGGACGCUGCCCUCUACCUUGCAGAAUGGGCCGAGAACCCAGCAGCCUUCACUCACAGGUGACCUCGGGGCGCAGGGCAGGGCACCGAGGCAGGCUUACCCUGGUGCAGUCACAGACACGGUCCCCUUUCCUCCCACCAGGACUGUCCUAAAGCUUGGCAGUGGCGCCGGCCUCACAGGCCUGGCCAUCUGCAAGAUGUGCCGCCCCCGGGCGUACAUCUUCAGCGACUGUCACAGCCGGGUCCUCGAGCAGCUCCGAGGGAAUGUCCUUCUCAAUGGCCUCCACACUCCCACACCAUGCGGGGAACUCGGGCAGAGGCCGGCCAGGCCAGGAUCAGAUGGGAAGUGGAAGCUUGUCAUGACCAGAAACUGUUUCCCUACAAAGAGCACUUGGAGAUGGCAAUGCUGAACCUAAUACUGUAGGACUCACACGCGACUUCAACGGGAUUGUGAGGAUCAAGUCACUCUCAUGGGAAGAAUUUUUACAUGGGAAAGCGGAUAAAACUUUCAUUGGACUGGAAUGUUUGGAGAAUAUUAAUUUCCUGUUGCUCCUGUGGGUGUAGCUAAAACACGAACCAGGAGUCUUCAUCCUUAGAAAGUAGUUAGACAGACACCUGAGAACCAAUCUCAAACUGCAGCCUUCCACAGAACCUUCUGGAACCUUCCCGAAUGCAACUCAUUACUGCCAGAGGGUCUUUGAUGAGAGUCUACUCUCUACCAUUUGUCUUCAAAGAGAAUACCCACAUAUUCUCUUUCCAUGGAAAGGUUACCUAACCAAACUCCUGUAAAACCACACCACCUAUGCCUGUGAUGGGGACUAUCUGAAUCUACAGUGCCCUCGGCAUUCUACAAUAAGUGUCCAAUCGGCAUUUUAUGGACAAGAUUACCCAAUGUGUAGUUCCCAGAAGCCUGCCUGCCAGAGGGAAGACAGCUUAACUUGUGUGGCACCCACCACCUUCCAGAUGAAUUAAAAAACAAAACCGUGUGUGAAGACAAGGAGCUGAAACUGCACUGCCAUGAAUCCAAGUUCCUCAACAUCUACUCUGUGACCUAUGGCAGGAGGAUCCAGGAAAGGGACAUGUGCUCCUCCAAGGCAGAGCGGCUCCCCCCCUUUUCAGUUUGUGCUUUUGUAUGGGUAUUAGCCGGGGUUCUCUAGAGGGACUGAACUAAUAGGAUAUAUAAUGGGAUAUAUAUAUAUGAUUGUGGAAGUCAAUACUUAAUAACACAAUCACAAUC